UACGUAGGUGACAAGCGUUGUCCGGAUUUACUGGGCGUAAAGAGCGCGCAGGCGGUCGUUCAAGUCGAGUGUGAAAGCCCCCGGCUCAACUGGGGAGGGUCACUCGAUACUGAUCGACUCGAAGGCAGGAGAGGGUAGUGGAAUUCCCGGUGUAGUGGUGAAAUGCGUAGAUAUCGGGAGGAACAUCAGUUGCGAAGGCGGCUCUCUGGACCAGCACUGACACUGAGGCACGAAAAGCGUGGGGAGCAAACAGGG
rnacentral:rRNA from 1 species